rnacentral:rRNA from 1 species
UACGUAGGGGGCGAGCGUUGUCCGGAGUUACUGGGCGUAAAGCGCUUGUAGGCGGUCCACCAAGUUUGGGGUGACAGUUGCCGACUUAAUCGGCAAAGUGCCUCAAAGACUGGCGGACUUGAGGGCCACAGAGGGACAUGGAACUCCAGGUGUAGUGGUGAAAUGCGUAGAUAUCUGGAAGAACACCAAAGGCGAAGGCAGUGUCCUGGGUGGUCGCUGACGCUGGGAGGCGAAAGCCAGGGGAGCGAACGGG